UACGUAGGGUGCGAGCGUUAAUCGGAUUUACUGGGCGUAAAGCGUGCGCAGGCGGCCCGUUAAGACAGGUGUGAAAUCCCUGGGCUCAACCUAGGAAUUGCGCUUGUGACUGGCGGGCUCGAGUACGGUAGAGGGAAGCGGAAUUCCCGGUGUAGCGGUGAAAUGCGUAGAGAUCAGGAGGAACACCGAUGGCGAAGGCAGCCCCCUGGGCCUGUACUGACGCUCAUGCACGAAAGCGUGGGGAGCAAACAGG
rnacentral:rRNA from 1 species